AAUUUUGGACCUCUAUGUAGUAGAGAGUAGCUUGGUAGGCCUAUAGUUGCUCUUAGCAUUCUAUAUGAGACGUGGUUCCAUGCUCCUAUAGUGUAAAUGAGAUUGGAUUCAUGCAUUUAAACCUAAGUUUAUUUGGGACAUGAAAGUUGACAAAAUUGCCAUAUAGAGCUAUCGAACUAGAAUGUAUGUGAAUUGGAGAGCUAAUGUCAUCAAGCGGCAUUGAGCUCGGGACAUGUGUGAACCUAGUGGUUAGAGCCAUUGAGGGAUUGGGUAUAUGUUGAACAUUAGAUUGUCUAAGUGUCAUCAAGGGGCACUAGGC
rnacentral:lncRNA from 1 species